rnacentral:rRNA from 2 species
UGGGGAAUAUUGCACAAUGGAGGAAACUCUGAUGCAGCGACGCCGCGUGAGCGAUGAAGGCUUUCGAGUCGUAAAGCUCUGUCCUAGGGGACGAUAAUGACGGUACCCUAGGAGGAAGCCCCGGCUAACUACGUGCCAGCAGCCGCGGUAAUACGUAGGGGGCGAGCGUUGUCCGGAAUUAUUGGGCGUAAAGGGUUCGCAGGUGGCCUUUUAAGUCAGAUGUGAAAGCCCACGGCUCAACCGUGGUAAGCAUUUGAAACUGGAAGGCUUGAGUUAAGGAGAGGAAAGUGGAAUUCCUAGUGUAGCGGUGAAAUGCGUAGAUAUUAGGAGGAAUACCAGUGGCGAAGGCGACUUUCUGGACUUAUACUGACACUGAGGAACGAAAGCGUGGGGAGCAAACAGG